rnacentral:rRNA from 1 species
GACGAACGCUGGCGGCGUGCUUAACACAUGCAAGUCGAACGGAAAGGCCCUGCUUUUGUGGGGUGCUCGAGUGGCGAACGGGUGAGUAACACGUGAGUAACCUGCCCUUGACUUUGGGAUAAUUUCAGGAAACUGGGGCUAAUACCGGAUAGGAGCUCCUGCUGCAUGGUGGGGGUUGGAAAGUUUCGGCGGUUGGGGAUGGACUCGCGGCUUAUCAGCUUGUUGGUGGGGUAGUGGCUUACCAAGGCUUUGACGGGUAGCCGGCCUGAGAGGGUGACCGGCCACAUUGGGACUGAGAUACGGCCCAGACUCCUACGGGAGGCAGCAGUGGGGAAUAUUGCACAAUGGGCGGAAGCCUGAUGCAGCAACGCCGCGUGCGGGAUGACGGCCUUCGGGUUGUAAACCGCUUUCGCCUGUGACGAAGCGUGAGUGACGGUAAUGGGUAAAGAAGCACCGGCUAACUACGUGCCAGCAGCCGCGGUGAUACGUAGGGUGCGAGCGUUGUCCGGAUUUAUUGGGCGUAAAGGGCUCGUAGGUGGUUGAUCGCGUCGGAAGUGUAAUCUUGGGGCUUAACCCUGAGCGUGCUUUCGAUACGGGUUGACUUGAGGAAGGUAGGGGAGAAUGGAAUUCCUGGUGGAGCGGUGGAAUGCGCAGAUAUCAGGAGGAACACCAGUGGCGAAGGCGGUUCUCUGGGCCUCUCCUGACGCUGAGGAGCGAAAGCGUGGGGAGCGAACAGGCUUAGAUACCCUGGUAGUCCACGCUGUAAACGGUGGGUACUAGGUGUGGGGUCCAUUCCACGGGUUCCGUGCCGUAGCUAACGCUUUAAGUACCCCGCCUGGGGAGUACGGCCGCAAGGCUAAAACUCAAAGGAAUUGACGGGGCCCCGCACAAGCGGCGGAGCAUGCGGAUUAAUUCGAUGCAACGCGUAGAACCUUACCUGGGUUUGACAUGGAUCGGGAGUGCUCAGAGAUGGGUGUGCCUCUUUUGGGGUCGGUUCACAGGUGGUGCAUGGCUGUCGUCAGCUCGUGUCGUGAGAUGUUGGGUUAAGUCCCGCAACGAGCGCAACCCUUGUUCACUGUUGCCAGCACGUUAUGGUGGGGACUCAGUGGAGACCGCCGGGGUCAACUCGGAGGAAGGUGGGGAUGACGUCAAGUCAUCAUGCCCCUUAUGUCCAGGGCUUCACGCAUGCUACAAUGGCUGGUACAGAGAGUGGCGAGCCUGUGAGGGUGAGCGAAUCUCGGAAAGCCGGUCUCAGUUCGGAUUGGGGUCUGCAACUCGACCUCAUGAAGUCGGAGUCGCUAGUAAUCGCAGAUCAGCAACGCUGCGGUGAAUACGUUCCCGGGGCU